UACGGAGGGGGCUAGCGUUGUUCGGCGUUACUGGGCGUAAAGCGCACGUAGGCGGAUCAGAAAGUCAGAGGUGAAAUCCCAGGGCUCAACCUUGGAACUGCCUUUGAAACUCCUGAUCUUGAGGUCGAGAGAGGUGAGUGGAAUUCCGAGUGUAGAGGUGAAAUUCGUAGAUAUUCGGAGGAACACCAGUGGCGAAGGCGGCUCACUGGCUCGAUACUGACGCUGAGGUGCGAAAGCGUGGGGAGCAAACAGG
rnacentral:rRNA from 1 species